UACGUAGGGGGCUAGCGUUAUCCGGAAUUACUGGGCGUAAAGCGCGCGUAGGCGGCUUUGUAAGUCAGAGGUGAAAGCCUGGAGCUCAACUCCAGAACUGCCUUUGAGACUGCAUCGCUAGAAUCAUGGAGAGGUAAGUGGAAUUCCGAGUGUAGAGGUGAAAUUCGUAGAUAUUCGGAAGAACACCAGUGGCGAAGGCGGCUUCCUGGACACUUACUGACGCUGAGACGCGAAAGCGUGGGGAGCAAACAGG
rnacentral:rRNA from 1 species